GCCGGGAGGAUAAGCUGUGGUUGGAGACCUCAUCCUGACAGGUAUCCAGCAAAGAGCCCUCUUGGACCCACAGGCAAAUGAGCUGUUCUCUAAACACCUGUCUGAGGAAGAAACUUCCCAUCCAAGUGUGACUCAUGGUGGAGACUGAAAGAGCAGUUCUUCUGGGUGUGGUAGUGCAAGCUUGAAAUCUCAGAAGGCAGGAGACUGAGACAGCUGCAAGCCAUCCCGUCAUCCCAAGUUGCUGUCACUGGGAGGGGAUCAUCUGCAGGCAUGAGCAGCUGCUGUGUCUCUUACUCUCUGUAAAAACAAUCACUGCAGUCCACACUUUCUCAUUGGCACAAAGCUAGAUUUGAACAUUCCUGGAAAAUCAAGGAUGCACUUAGAGGAGUCGUCAAAAUUUAGGAAAUUUGGGGAUUUUGUCUACUGUAUAGGAUAUACUAAGGGGACAUGACAGGUCUUGAGAAGAUUGGCAGGAUGGGUGUCUUGAUCUGUUUUCUGUUGCUACAGCAGACUCUCUGAAACUGACAGCAUGUUUGGGGGUUCAGUGUGAGACAAGCCUCCACAUUACAACACUGACACUUGAUCUCAGCCAAAAGAAUGAGAAGCAGUAAGACUGGAGGUUUAUCAAGCUCAUUCAGUUUGUGGCUGCAGGAGCUAGAGGUCCAAGAUUGUGUGGCCACAGUGGGCAGGAUGGCAGCCACUGCACAAGCAGAUGUGAUACCUCCAACAGCCCACUCUGAGGGACAAGGCCCUCAUACCCUGAGGACCUGAUCUCCUUCCUCAUCAGGCCCUGCCUCAAGCUAUAUCCAUCCACAGCUGGCCCACCUGAAACUGACAGAGGAUGAAAUAGCAGAGGGGCUGUCUUGAGUUGCAGUGGUCUGAAAUCAUAUUGACAGAGCU
rnacentral:lncRNA from 1 species